rnacentral:rRNA from 1 species
AUUGAACGCUGGCGGCAGGCCUAACACAUGCAAGUCGAGCGGUAGCACAGAGAGCUUGCUCUCGGGUGACGAGCGGCGGACGGGUGAGUAAUGUCUGGGAAACUGCCUGAUGGAGGGGGAUAACUACUGGAAACGGUAGCUAAUACCGCAUAACGUCGCAAGACCAAAGAGGGGGACCUUCGGGCCUCUUGCCAUCAGAUGUGCCCAGAUGGGAUUAGCUAGUAGGUGGGGUAACGGCUCACCUAGGCGACGAUCCCUAGCUGGUCUGAGAGGAUGACCAGCCACACUGGAACUGAGACACGGUCCGGACUCCUACGGGAGGCAGCAGUGGGGAAUAUUGCACAAUGGGCGCAAGCCUGAUGCAGCCAUGCCGCGUGUAUGAAGAAGGCCUUCGGGUUGUAAAGUACUUUCAGCGGGGAGGAAGGUGUUGAGGUUAAUAACCUCAGCAAUUGACGUUACCCGCAGAAGAAGCACCGGCUAACUCCGUGCCAGCAGCCGCCGUAA